AUUGAACGCUGGCGGCAUGCUUUACACAUGCAAGUCGAACGGUAACAGGCCGCAAGGUGCUGACGAGUGGCGAACGGGUGAGUAAUGCAUCGGAACGUGCCCAGUCGUGGGGGAUAACGCAGCGAAAGCUGCGCUAAUACCGCAUACGAUCUAUGGAUGAAAGCGGGGGACCGUAAGGCCUCGCGCGAAUGGAGCGGCCGAUGUCAGAGUAGGUAGUUGGUGGGGUAAAGGCUCACCAAGCCGACGAUCUGUAGCUGGUCUGAGAGGACGACCAGCCACACUGGGACUGAGACACGGCCCAGACUCCUACGGGAGGCAGCAGUGGGGAAUUUUGGACAAUGGGCGCAAGCCUGAUCCAGCAAUGCCGCGUGCAGGAAGAAGGCCUUCGGGUUGUAAACUGCUUUUGUACGGAACGAAAAGGCUCUGGUUAAUACCUGGGGCUCAUGACGGUACCGUAAGAAUAAGCACCGGCUAACUACGUGCCAGCCGCCGCAGUAACAC
rnacentral:rRNA from 1 species